AUAAACGCUGGCGGCGUGCUUUACCAAUGCGAGUCGCACGCCUUUGCUCUUUGGAGUGAGGGAGUGGCGUCCGGGUGCGUAACACGUGGGUGACCUGCCCUGACGUGGGGGAUACCCACCCGAAAGGGUGGCUAAUACCGCAUGAGUUCGCUUUUUUGGGAGGGUGAACAAAGCCUGAGAGGGCGCGUGAGGAGGGGCCUGCGGCCUAUCAGCUAGCCGGUGGGGUAACGGCCUACCGGGGCGACGACGGGUAGCCGGUCUGAGAGGAUGGACGGCCACACUGGGACUGAGAGAUGGUCCAGAGCUCUACGGGGUUUAGCAUGGAGGAAUCUUGCACAACGGCCGGGAGGCCGGUGCAGCAACGCCGCGUGGGGGAGGAAGGCCCUUGGGUCGUAAACCCCUGUUGUUCGGGAAGAAGUACUCGUGAGGAGGACUUGCGAGGAAGACGGUACCGGACGAGGAAGCCCCGGCUAACUACGU
rnacentral:rRNA from 1 species